rnacentral:rRNA from 1 species
AAUAUUGGACAAUGGGCGAAACCCUGAUCCAGCCAUCCCGCGUGUAUGAUGAAGGCCUUCGGGUUGUAAAGUACUUUUGGCAGAGAAGAAAAGGUAUCUCCUAAUACGAGAUACUGCUGACGGUAUCUGCAGAAUAAGCACCGGCUAACGACGUGCCAGCAGCCGCGGUAAUACGAAGGGUGCAAGCGUUAAUGGGAAUUACUGGGCGUAAAGAGUGUGUAGGCGGUUCGGAAAGAAAGAGGUGAAACCCAAGGGCUCAACCUUGGAACUGCAUUUUUAACGGCCGAGUUAGAGUAUGUAGAAGGGGGGUAGAAUUCCACUGUUAGCAGUGAAAUGCGUAAAAAUUUGGAGGAAUACCGAUGGGGAAGGCACCCCCUUGGGAUAAUACUGCCGAUAAGAACCGAAAGGGUGGGAGCAAACAGG